AAUGAACGUUGGCGGCAUGGAUUAGGCAUGCAAGUCGGGGGAAUCCCAGCAAUGGGGGAACCGGCGUAAGGGGCAGUAAGGCAUGGGUACCUACCUUGGGGUUCGGGAUAGCCAUCAGAGAUGGUGGGUAAUACCGGAUGACGUCGUGAUACCAAAGAUUUAUCGCCCUUAGAGGGGCCCAUGUGAUAUUAGCUAGUUGGUGGGGUAACGGCCCACCAAGGCGAAGAUGUCUAGCGGGUGUGAGAGCACGACCCGCGCCACUCGCACUGAGACACUGGCGAGACACCUACGGGUGGCUGCAGUCGAGGAUCUUCGGCAAAGAGCGCAAGCUUGACCGAGCGAUGCCGCGUGAGCGAUGAAGGCCUUCGGGUUGUAAAGCUCUUUAGUGGGGGAGAAAAGCCGCAAGGUGUGAUCUAUCCCAAAAAUAAGCACGGGCUAAGUUCGUGCCAGCCGCCGCGGUAA
rnacentral:rRNA from 1 species